UACGGAGGGUGCAAGCGUUAUCCGGAUUCACUGGGUUUAAAGGGUGCGUAGGCGGGUUGGUAAGUCCGUGGUGAAAUCUCCAGCUUAACUUGGAAACUGCCGUGGAUACUAUCAAUCUUGAAUGUCGUGGAGGUAAGCGGAAUAUGUCAUGUAGCGGUGAAAUGCUUAGAGAUGACAUAGAACACCAAUUGCGUAGGCAGCU
rnacentral:rRNA from 1 species